GCUCAAAGGUUCCCUCAGAAUGGUUGGAAAUCAUUCAUAGAGUGUAAAGGCAUAAGGGAGCUUGACUGCGAGACCUACAAGUCGAGCAGGGUCGAAAGACGGACUUAGUGAUCCGGUGGUUCCGCAUGGAAGGGCCAUCGCUCAACGGAUAAAAGCUACCCCGGGGAUAACAGGCUUAUCUCCCCCAAGAGUUCACAUCGACGGGGAGGUUUGGCACCUCGAUGUCGGCUCAUCGCAUCCUGGGGCUGUAGUCGGUCCCAAGGGUUGGGCUGUUCGCCCAUUAAAGCGGUACGCGAGCUGGGUUCAGAACGUCGUGAGACAGUUCGGUCCCUAUCCGUCGUGGGCGUAGGAAAUUUGAGAGGAGCUGUCCUUAGUACGAGAGGACCGGGAUGGACAUACCUCUGGUGUACCAGUUGUCGUGCCAACGGCAUAGCUGGGUAGCUAUGUGUGGACGGGAUAAGUGCUGAAAGCAUCUAAGCAUGAAGCCCCCCUCAAGAUGAGAUUUCCCAACUUCGGUUAUAAGAUCCCUCAAAGAUGAUGAGGUUAAUAGGUUCGAGGUGGAAGCAUGGUGACAUGUGGAGCUGACGAAUACUAA
rnacentral:rRNA from 1 species